rnacentral:rRNA from 1 species
GAUGAACGCUGGCGGCGUGCCUAAUACAUGCAAGUCGAGCGAACAGACGAGGAUCUUGCUCCUCUGACGUUAGCGGCGGACGGGGGAGUAACACGUGGAUAACCUACCUAUAAGACUGGGAUAACUUCGGGAAACCGGAGCUAAUACCGGAUAAUAUAUUGAACCGCAUGGUUCAAUAGUGAAAGACGGUUUUGCUGUCACUUAUAGAUGGAUCCGCGCCGCAUUAGCUAGUUGGUAAGGUAACGGCUUACCAAGGCGACGAUGCGUAGCCGACCUGAGAGGGUGAUCGGCCACACUGGAACUGAGACACGGUCCAGACUCCUACGGGAGGCAGCAGUAGGGAAUCUUCCGCAAAGGGCGAAAGCCUGACGGAGCAACGCCGCGUGAGUGAUGAAGGUCUUCGGAUCGUAAAACUCUGUUAUUAGGGAAGAACAAAUGUGUAAGUAACUAUGCACGUCUUGACGGUACCUAAUCAGAAAGCCACGGCUAACUACGUG